GACAUUAGAACAAGACCAGUCUCGCUUCACAUCAAACCGUGAAAGUAUCAAGAGAAGAGCGUCCAAAGCCAAUGUGUAUGAGCAUGGCUACAGUCCACGACCUUAUGACCUCAGGAAUAUUACACUAACAAGAGAAAUUCUUACCAUGUCAGAAAGGUUGUCAGAGAAUGCUCAUGAUCUCUGGGCCAAAAGAAAAAGAGAGGAGCUUGAUGCUAUUGGU
rnacentral:sRNA from 1 species